rnacentral:pre_miRNA from 1 species
AGAGGGAUAGCUGGGUCAAAUGGUGUUCCAUUCACAGUUUUCCAAGGAAUCUCCAUACUGCUUUCCAAAUUGGCCGCACCAAUUUGCAGUCCCACCAGCAAU